GAUGAACGCUGGCGGCGUGCCUAAUACAUGCAAGUCGAGCGAACAGACGAGGAGCUUGCUCCUCUGACGUUAGCGGCGGACGGGUGAGUAACACGUGGAUAACCUACCUAUAAGACUGGGAUAACUUCGGGAAACCGGAGCUAAUACCGGAUAAUAUAUUGAACCGCAUGGUUCAAUAGUGAAAGACGGUUUUGCUGUCACUUAUAGAUGGAUCCGCGCCGCAUUAGCUAGUUGGUAAGGUAACGGCUUACCAAGGCAACGAUGCGUAGCCGACCUGAGAGGGUGAUCGGCCACACUGGAACUGAGACACGGCCCAGACUCCUACGGGAGGCCGCAGUAGGGACUCUUCCGCAAUGGGCGAAUGCCUGACGGAGCAACGCCGCGUGAGUGAUGAAGGUCUUCGGAUCGUAAAACUCUGUUAUUAGGGAAGAACAAAUGUGUAAGUAACUAUGCACGUCUUGACGGUACCUAAUCAGAAAGCCACGGCUAACUACGUG
rnacentral:rRNA from 1 species